AAUAGAUACCCGGGUAGUCCACGCCGUAAACGAUGAGUGCUAAGUGUUAGGGGGUUUCCGCCCCUUAGUGCUGCAGCUAACGCAUUAAGCACUCCGCCUGGGGAGUACGGUCGCAAGACUGAAACUCAAAGGAAUUGACGGGGGCCCGCACAAGCGGUGGAGCAUGUGGUUUAAUUCGAAGCAACGCGAAGAACCUUACCAGGUCUUGACAUCCCAUUGACCACUAUGGAGACAUAGUUUUCCCUUCGGGGACAACGGUGACAGGUGGUGCAUGGUUGUCGUCAGCUCGUGUCGUGAGAUGUUGGGUUAAGUCCCGCAACGAGCGCAACCCUUGUUCUUAGUUGCCAUCAUUUAGUUGGGCACUCUAAGGAGACUGCCGGUGACAAACCGGAGGAAGGUGGGGAUGACGUCAAAUCAUCAUGCCCCUUAUGACCUGGGCUACACACGUGCUACAAUGGACGGUACAAACGGUUGCCAACCCGCGAGGGGGAGCUAAUCCGAUAAAACCGUUCUCAGUUCGGAUUGUAGGCUGCAACUCGCCUACAUGAAGCCG
rnacentral:rRNA from 1 species